UACGUAGGUGGCAAGCGUUGUCCGGAUUUACUGGGCGUAAAGAGCGCGCAGGCGGUCGAUUAAGUCGAGUGUGAAAGCCCCCGGCUCAACUGGGGAGGGUCACUCGAUACUGAUCGACUUGAAGGCAGAAGAGGGAAGCGGAAUUCCCGGUGUAGUGGUGAAAUGCGUAGAUAUCAAGAGGAACACCGGUGGCGAAGGCGGAUCUCUGGGCCGAUACUGACGCUGAGGAGCGAAAGCGUGGGGAGCGAACAGG
rnacentral:rRNA from 1 species